rnacentral:rRNA from 1 species
UACGUAGGGACCGAGCGUUGUCCGGAAUCAUUGGGCGUAAAGAGCGUGUAGGCGGCCACUUAAGUCCUGCGUGAAAUCUUGCGGCUCAACCGCAAGCGGUCGUGGGAAACUGGGUGGCUAGAGUGCGGGAGAGGAGAGUGGAAUUCCCGGUGUAGCAGUGAAAUGCGUAGAGAGUCGGGAGGAACACCAGUGGCGAAGGCGACUACCUGGACCAGCACUGACACUGAGGCACGGAAAGCGUGGGGAGCAAACAGG